GAUGAACGCUGGCGGCGUGCCUAAUACAUGCAAGUCGAGCGAACAGACGAGGAGCUUGCUCCUCUGACGUUAGCGGCGGACGGGUGAGUAACACGUGGAUAACCUACCUAUAAGACUGGGAUAACUUCGGGAAACCGGAGCUAAUACCGGAUAAUAUAUUGAACCGCAUGGUUCAAUAGUGAAAGACGGUUUUGCUGUCACUUAUAGAUGGAUCCGCGCCGCAUUAGCUAGUUGGUAAGGUAACGGCUUACCAAGGCAACGAUGCGUAGCCGACCUGAGAGGGUGAUCGGCCACACUGGAACUGAGACACGGUCCAGACUCCUACGGGAGGCAGCAGUAGGGAAUCUUCCGCAAUGGGCGAAAGCCUGACGGAGCAACGCCGCGUGAGUGAUGAAGGUCUUCGGAUCGUAAAACUCUGUUAUUAGGGAAGAACAACUGUGUAAGUAACUAUGCACGUCUUGACGGUACCUAAUCAGAAAGCCACGGCUAGCUACGUG
rnacentral:rRNA from 1 species